rnacentral:tRNA from 1 species
GCGGAUGUAGUUUAAUGGUAGAACAUCAGCUUCCCAAGCUGAGAACGCGGGUUCGAUUCCCGUCAUCCGCU